CUAGUUGGUGAGGUAACGGCUCACCAAGGCGACGAUGCGUAGCCGACCUGAGAGGGUGAUCGGCCACACUGGGAGAGAGACACGGCCCAGACUCCUACGGGAGGCAGCAGUAGGGAAUCUUCCGCAAUGGAGCUGCGUCUGACGGAGCAACGCCGCGUGAACGAUGAAGGUCUUCGGAUCGUAAAGUUCUGUUGUCAGGGAAGAACAAGUGCCGUGCGAAUAGAGCGGCACCUUGACGGUACCUGUGGAGGAACGCCCGGCUAACUACGUCGCAGCAGCCGCGGUAAUACGUAGGGGGCAAGCGUACUCCGGAAUUAUUGGGCGUAAAGCGCGCGCAGGCGGUUCCUUAAGUCUGAUGUGAAAGCCCACGGCUCAACCGUGGAGGGUCAUUGGAAACUGGGGAACUUGAGUACAGAAGAGGAGAGUGGAAUUCCACGUGUAGCGGUGAAAUGCGUAGAUAACUGGAGGAAGUCCAGUGGCGAAGGCGACUCUCUGGUCUGUAACUGACGCUGAGGCGCGAAACGGUGGGGUCCAAACAGGAUUAGAUACC
rnacentral:rRNA from 1 species